rnacentral:rRNA from 1 species
UCCCUACGGGAGGCAGCAGUGGGGAAUAUUGCACAAUGGGGGAAACCCUGAUGCAGCAACGCCGCGUGAGUGAAGAAGGUCUUCGGAUCGUAAAACCCUGUUGUUAGAGAAGAAAGUGCGUGAGAGUAACUGUUCACGUUUCGACGGUAUCUAACCAGAAAGCCACGGCUAACUACGUGCCAGCAGCCGCGGUAAUACGUAGGUGGCAAGCGUUAUCCGGAUUUAUUGGGCGUAAAGAGAACGCAGGCGGUCUUUUAAGUCUGAUGUGAAAGCCUUCGGCUUAACCGGAGUCGUGCAUUGGAAAC